GGGUUGUGAGGUUAAGCGACUAAGCGUACACGGUGGAUGCCCUGGCAGUCAGAGGCGAUGAAGGACGUGCUAAUCUGCGAAAAGCGCCGGCGAGGUGAUAUGAACCUUUGACCCGUCGAUGUCCGAAUGGGGAAACCCAGUGUGUUCCGACACACUAUCGUUAACUGAAUACAUAGGUUAACGAGGCGAACCGGGGGAACUGAAACAUCUAAGUACCCCGAGGAAAAGAAAUCAACCGAGAUUCCCCCAGUAGCGGCGAGCGAACGGGGAGCAGCCCGGAGUCUGAAUCAGCUUGUGUGUUAGUGGAACGGUCUGGAAAGUCCGACGGUACAGGGUGAUAGUCCCGUACACGAAAAUACACUUGCUGUGAACUCGAAGAGUAGGGCGGGACACGUGGUAUCCUGUCUGAAUAUGGGGGGACCAUCCUCCAAGGCUAAAUACUCCUGACUGACCGAUAGUGAACCAGUACCGUGAGGGAAAGGCGAAAAGAACCCCGGCGAGGGGAGUGAAAAAGAACCUGAAACCGUGUACGUACAAGCAGUGGGAGCACCUUCGGGUGUGACUGCGUACCUUUUGUAUAAUGGGUCAGCGACUUAUAUUCUGUAGCAAGGUUAACCGUAUAGGGGAGCCGAAGGGAAACCGAGUCUUAACUGGGCGUUAAGUUGCAGGGUAUAGACCCGAAACCCGGUGAUCUAGCCAUGGGCAGGUUGAAGGUUGGGUAACACUAACUGGAGGACCGAACCGACUAAUGUUGAAAAAUUAGCGGAUGACCUGUGGCUGGGGGUGAAAGGCCAAUCAAACCGGGAGAUAGCUGGUUCUCCCCGAAAGCUAUUUAGGUAGCGCCUCGUGAACUCAUCUUCGGGGGUAGAGCACUGUUUCGGCUAGGGGGCCAUCCCGGCUUACCAACCCGAUGCAAACUACGAAUACCGAAGAAUGUUAUCACGGGAGACACACGGCGGGUGCUAACGUCCGUCGUGAAGAGGGAAACAACCCAGACCGCCAGCUAAGGUCCCAAAGUCAUGGUUAAGUGGGAAACGAUGUGGGAAGGCACAGACAGCCAGGAUGUUGGCUUAGAAGCAGCCAUCAUUUAAAGAAAGCGUAAUAGCUCACUGGUCGAGUCGGCCUGCGCGGAAGAUGUAACGGGGCUAAACCAUGCACCGAAGCUGCGGCAGCGACACUAUGUGUUGUUGGGUAGGGGAGCGUUCUGUAAGCCGUUGAAGGUGUGCUGUGAGGCAUGCUGGAGGUAUCAGAAGUGCGAAUGCUGACAUAAGUAACGAUAAAGCGGGUGAAAAGCCCGCUCGCCGGAAGACCAAGGGUUCCUGUCCAACGUUAAUCGGGGCAGGGUGAGUCGACCCCUAAGGCGAGGCCGAAAGGCGUAGUCGAUGGGAAACAGGUUAAUAUUCCUGUACUUGGUGUUACUGCGAAGGGGGGACGGAGAAGGCUAUGUCAGCCGGGCGACGGUUGUCCCGGUUUAAGCAUGUAGGCGGAGGUUCCAGGUAAAUCCGGUACCUUAUUAACGCUGAGGUGUGAUGACGAGGCACUACGGUGCUGAAGUGAUAAAUGCCCUGCUUCCAGGAAAAGCCUCUAAGCAUCAGGUAACACGAAAUCGUACCCCAAACCGACACAGGUGGUCAGGUAGAGAAUACCAAGGCGCUUGAGAGAACUCGGGUGAAGGAACUAGGCAAAAUGGUGCCGUAACUUCGGGAGAAGGCACGCUGAUAGGUAGGUGAAGUCCCUGCGGACGGAGCUGAAAUCAGUCGAAGAUACCAGCUGGCUGCAACUGUUUAUUAAAAACAC
rnacentral:rRNA from 1 species